GGUGAAGUGGAUGAGUGGCUGAAAUCAACAGUUUGCUAAACUGUCAUACGGGUUAAACCGUAUCGGGGGUUCGAAUCCCCCCUUCACCGCGA
rnacentral:tRNA from 1 species